GACGAACGCUGGAGGCGUGCUUAGCACAUGCAAGUCGAACGAUGAAAUGGAGCUUGCUCCAUGGAUUAGUGGCGAACGGGUGAGUAACACGUGAAUAACCUGCCCUUAAUUUUGGAAUAACCCAGGGAAACCUGGGCCAAUACCGGAUAAGUAAACCUGUGGCAUCACAUGGUUUUGGAAAGUUUUUCGAUUAAGGAUGGAUUCGCGGCCUAUCAGCUUGUUGGUGAGGUAAUGGCUCACCAAGGCGACGACGGGUAGCCGGCCUGAGAGGGUGAACGGCCACACUGGGACUGAGACACGGCCCAGACUCCUACGGGAGGCAGCAGUGGGGAAUAUUGCGCAAUGGACUAAAGUCUGACGCAGCGACGCCUCGUGAGGGACGAAGGUCUUCGGAUUGUAAACCUCUUUCAGCAGGGACGAAGCGAAAGUGACGGUACCUGCAGAAGAAGCACCGGCUAACUAUGUGCCAGCAGCAGCCGCGG
rnacentral:rRNA from 1 species